GUUGGGUGACAUUUGGAACUGAGCAUCAUGCAACUGCAUUCCAGUGGAACCAGAAACGGUGCACGAGUCAGUAGAAAUGAUCGUGCCUCAGGCCACAUGCCUGUCUAUAUCUGGAUGAGGACCUUCUCAAGGACAGCACAGGACUGAUUUAAACCUGAUGGUAAUUAACCACAAGGUUGACACCAAAAUGAUCAGCUGAAGAUAAAGUUUCACAAAGCUAUAUCCUUCCUCAGAGCAACAGGAGUGGUCCCAACACCUGGUCUAGAGUCACACAGAGCAGGUCAUAAUGACUCAUCACCACAUGCUGUUAGCUUAGCGUCUAACCUCCGAGCUCUUUAAAGCUGCUUGUGUGUGUGUGCGUGGGUGUUCCUGUGUGGUCCAGAGCUGCUUUAUGGUCACGGUAGGAGCCUCAUAACUCAGCUCAGACAGAUUUACAACAACAAUAUACACCGACACUGACACACACACACACAAACAGACAGAUACAGAAACACACAUACACAGAGACACACUGAUGGGUCUCAAUUUCUCCAAUCCCACUAAGCCAGAACAAGUCACCGUAUCUCAUUCAUAAAACCCUCUCAGAUUUAACCAAGUAAAGAACCUACAGCUUUGUUUGGCAGCACACCUGUGUAUACUAUCUUUGCAUUAUACUAGGGACGCGAAUACUCUCUAGUAUACGUGUGUGGGUGAAAGGGAGUGUCCAGGCCGUGCUUGGGGAAUGUAUAAUAACAUUAUUUAGAGGAGCUAGUGUCAAGUAUGGUCAGUUAUGUUUCACACAAUUACCUUUACAAUUGUAGUUAUUUAACACAUACCAAGUUGAGAUAUCAACACAACCCCACCAAUAGUAAGUACACUUUAUUCCAUUGAAAAGCUAUCAGCAAAGUCUGCGCUUUUCAAUGGAAUGAGAACAAUGAGUGCAAGCAUUACAGUAGCUCAGUGUCUCUUACAAUAACAGCAGCACUUACCUGUGUGUGUGUGUGUGUGUGUGUGUGUGUGUGUGUGUGUGUGUGUGCGUGCGUGCGUUUAUGGAGAAAAAAAGUCACAUGUAAUCCUUGUAAUCAACUUGUCAUAGUUUAAAACCAGCUGGUUCUUAUUUUGUAUGUCCUAACAUAACAUGAAACAGUAAAAUAUAUUGUUGGUCAGCUGCAUGAUUACAUUCUGUGUCUCAGAUGUUGUGAUAGUAAAUAAGGUUUAUCUGCAUGUGGAUGCAAGAUAUCACUCAACAUGACAGUACAUGAAGAGCCAUAAUGUUAUCUUUAUCAAUGGUCAGAGGAUCGGGUCUAGUUGCAAAUGUGGAGAUUAUGAAUCCUUACCAGCAUCGGCUGGUUUGAACAAAUAGACAGACAUGAAGAUUGCCAAUGGAGAUUUCAUGCAUUGACAAAAGUUGACUGGACCAACAGUGAAUGGUAGCUGUUAGUCCUAUGAACGUAUCUGAACAUCCAGAUGGCUCUGCAGGGCAAUGAGGUCGUGUUAUGUCGUUCCUUGGGCUACAGCUUUGUUUAUCACUCCAGUGAUGGUAUUUUUUGGGCAGAUAUUGAAAUGU